UACAAAUACUAUCCGUUUUUCUCAUUGACUUCUUCAUUCAACAAACACUUGCUUUUGGAUUCUUCAUGAUCUUCGAAACAUGUAUCUGUUUCUUCCCGUAUUAAUCCUUGUUCCAGGUGACAUGGAUAAGAAAUCGAGAUGCGGAUUUGGAGUUGGAUUAGUCUAUUUAAUUAAGAAAUAGACAUUUGUGAAGAUUUGGUUUAUAUAGAAAUUUAUUGGUUGUAUAAUUAUUUCCAUUAUGUAUUAAGUUGAAUUUGGAUUAUUUAUUGUAAGUUUGGAAUUAGCCUUAGCGUUUGGGUAUAGGAAAGAUGCCUAAGUGUGGCGGUAACACCUGAUUUUAUUUGGAUUAUUAAUGCUUCCGCUAUGAAUGUAGAAAUUUUCAAUUAAUAAAGAAAAAAAAUUAAGGAAAUUUGGUUAUGAAAA